UGGGGAAUAUUGGACAAUGGGCGAAAGCCUGAUCCAGCCAUGCCGCGUGUGUGAAGAAGGUCUUCGGAUUGUAAAGCACUUUAAGUUGGGAAGAAGGGCAGUAAGCGAAUACCUUGCUGUUUUGACGUUACCGACAGAAUAAGCACCGGCUAACUCUGUGCCAGCAGCCGCGGUAAUACAGAGGGUGCAAGCGUUAAUCGGAAUUACUGGGCGUAAAGCGCGCGUAGGUGGUUCGUUAAGUUGAAUGUGAAAGCCCCGGGCUCAACCUGGGAACUGCAUCCAAAACUGGCGAGCUAGAGUAGGGCAGAGGGUGGUGGAAUUUCCUGUGUAGCGGUGAAAUGCGUAGAUAUAGGAAGGAACACCAGUGGCGAAGGCGACCACCUGGGCUCAUACUGACACUGAGGUGCGAAAGCGUGGGGAGCAAACAGG
rnacentral:rRNA from 1 species